GUCAGGCUAAAAAGAAAAAAAAAAAGUUGAGAUGUCGAAUUAUGUGGUGGUGAUGCUGCUACCAGCGAAGUAACUUUUUUUUCUUUGCCAGCCGUUAAGUAGGUCAGAAACGCUAGGUUAUUUGUUAUUUUGUAAGGUGAAAACAAUUGGGAAGUGUGAUAAUGGUACGUUCAUCACUUUCCUUUUGUGAUCAUCAUUAGUUUUUGUCGGAGGCAUUAUUUAUUUUGCAUACUCUUUGUUUUUCUGUGAAAUUAAAGUGUAGAAAAUAAAUUAACAUUGUUGAUUUCAUGGUUUACUGUUAGUGUUAAGGUUUUUUGUGAACUGACUGACUCGGUGACUAUGUCAUUAUCAGUGUAUGGUGUAACACUAUAAGUUUGAAGAACCCAAUAGGAGGAGAGAAUUGUGGACUUAUGCUUUUUUGGUCAGAAAAUCCUGAAAGAAGAGCCAAUCAACAAACCUCCAAAAGCAAUGCCUGUCUUAAGAGGAAUGACAGGCAUUA